rnacentral:lncRNA from 1 species
UUAUCACUUCACCACUUGUCAACAAUAGCCCCAGCAUGUACAAAGCCAGCUUUGCUGAUAAAAAUUAUGACAAUGCCUAGGACAUAUUUCUCACCAUCAUGAGAACUCCUAGUAGCAACAAGGCAUGAUCCUGUGAAGCCACAAAAAGGAUGCUUAUAUGGGCAAUAAGACCCAGACCAAGGGUCCUGAACCUGAAAUAUUCCAUAGAACAUGGCAUUGUCACCAACUAGAAUGACAUAAUAAUAACAUAAUGGUGUAUAAUGUAAGGCACCACACAUUGUACAACAAACUGUUUGUAGCCCUUGAUGUCAACUGUGAGAAGAUGGUACAAAUAAUGUUCAAGACUUUCAAUUUACUAACCAUGUACACCAUCAUCUAGGCCAUGCGUUGCACUUACCACCAUCACUUCAAUGGACUAAGUAUAUGGGAUCACCUACAGCAUACCCAUAUAUGAGGGCUAAACUCUUCCGCAUGCAAUCCUGCCUAUGGACCUGGCUGUCUGGAACCAAAGAUCCUGAAGUUUUAAGAGUGAUGAUAGCUUCCCCACCACAACUGAACAGGAAAUUGUGUUACAUCAAGGUAAAAAUCUGCUAUCUAUCUCUGGAUUUUGAAAAAAAAAAAAAAAGAGUGGCCACUGAUAUAUGAUCCUCAUCCUUGGAAAAAAGAUAAGUAUUCUUGAAGACCAGGUCACUAUUGUCAACAAAUAGCUCCAUUGUCCAGGUGUUCUUAUUUCUGGGUAUGUAAUCCUUCAGCAUCCAGGAAACUACAUUCAGUUCCAUCCUGAAAUGUGACAUUGAUAUCAGCAAAGGCCAUUAUGACAGCAUGGUACUAUCUGGUAGUACCAUCAUGUGCCCUGGCAUUGGGAACAGAAUGCAGGAAAUAACUUCUCUUGCCCCCAGCAUCAUGAAAGCCAAGAUCAUUACUCCUUGUUAGUGCAAGUGUUUGUGUGCAUGUGUAUCUCUAUCCCAGCAGAUGUUGAGCAGCAAGCAGGAGCAGAACCAGUCCAGACCUUCCAUCAUUUACCCCAAAUACUUU